GCAAGUCGAACGAAGAAUAUUCGGUAGCAAUACUGGGUAUUUUUAGUGGCGAAAGGGUGCGUAACACGUGGGUAAUCUACCGUAAAGUUCGGAAUAACUUCGAGAAAUCAAAGCUAAUACCGAAUGUGAUCUGACAGGGACAUCCCUGUUCCAUUAAAGCUGGGGACCUUCGGGCCUGGCGCUUUACGAUGAGCCCGCGCCCUAUCAGCUUGUUGGUGAGGUAAAAGCUCACCAAGGCUAAGACGGGUAGCCGGUCUGAGAGGACGAUCGGCCACACUGGAACUGAGACACGGUCCAGACACCUACGGGUGGCAGCAGUCGAGAAUCAUUCACAAUGGGGGAAACCCUGAUGGUGCGACGCCGCGUGGGGGAUGAAGGUCUUCGGAUUGUAUACCCCUGUCAUUUGUGAACAAACCUUUUGGUUUAAUAGAUCAAAAGCUGAUAGUAGCAAAAGAGGAAGGGACGGCUAACUCCGUGCCAGCAGCCGCGGUAAUACGGAGGUCCCAAGCGUUGUUCGGAUUUACUGGGCGUAAAGGGUGCGUAGGUGGCCAGGAAAGUUUGAUGUGAAAGCUCCGAGCUCAACUCGGAAAAUGCAUUGAAUACUACUUGGCUUGAGGAUCGGAGGGGAGACUGGAAUUCUCGGUGUAGCAGUGAAAUGCGUAGAUAUCGAGAGGAACACCAGUGGCGAAGGCGAGUCUCUGGACGAUUCCUGACACUGAGGCACGAAAGCUAGGGGAGCAAACAGGAUUAGAUACCCUGGUAGUCCUAGCCGUAAACGGUGCACACUUGCUGUAGGAGGAUUCCACCCCUUCUGUGGCGGAGCAAACGCGUUAAGUGUGCCGC
rnacentral:rRNA from 1 species